rnacentral:rRNA from 1 species
UACGGGGGGGGCAAGCGUUGUUCGGAUUCACUGGGCGUAAAGGGUGCGUAGGCGGCCGGGUAAGUCUGAUGUGAAAUCCCGCAGCUUAACUGCGGAACUGCAUCGGAUACUCUCCGGCUAGAGGAAUGGAGGGGAGACUGGAAUUCUCGGUGUAGCAGUGAAAUGCGUAGAUAUCGAGAGGAACACCAGUGGCGAAGGCGAGUCUCUGGACAUUUCCUAACGCUGAGGCACGAAAGCCAGGGGAGCAAACGGG